rnacentral:miRNA from 1 species
UUGAAAGAAAACGGUCAAUCUGCUAUACAUAAACUUGCCACAUUUCCAGCAUAUAAUGUGGACAGUAGUUGUAUAGUAGAUUGAGGUGGAAGUAUUUCAC